UUCUGUUCCAUCUUCAGUGAUAAGACAAUAUCUAGACAGGAGUAGCCCCACAAGUCCAAUUAAUCCCUACCUCUCUAGAGAGCCAUCCAUGAACAGCAACAACAAAAGUUAUUUUAUAGGAAUAAAGAAGGUGGGAUCCAGGAAGUCACAGAAAGACAUUCCAAGACUCUCAAUCAUGCCAGAAGCAGCAUCGGACACUGUUGUGGAUAUCCUGCCGUUUAGUGGCUGCACAAGUGGAUACUGAGAAUAGACUCCAUCAGGGUGUGCUCAGACAAAAGCAUGGCUUCCCCCAGCGAAGCCACGGGAAUACGCAGUGGAAGACCUACCUGGCCUCGAAUCACCAGGCAUGCAGCCGUUGCUGACUCUCAGGGCCGUGUUUAUCCAACAGAGCUGCGUAAGAUCCAGCAGAAGCAGCACUUUUUGCAUUGCUUUGAUCACAUAGGAUUUAGAAUGCUUAUUUUCUCAUUAGUUAUUCUCUCUUUGUGAGAAAAGCAUUAACUUCAUUAACUGGCUCUGACAAACCAAUUUGCUUUUAACAGCUGUACUCAAAACCAGACACCAUGCUCUGCGUCAUGGUUUUCAUCUGAAUCACAUAACUGAGUAUAAAUAUAGCUGUCAAUUGCUUCAUCUCUCCAAUAAUUCUGGAGACAUUUUCUUGCUAGGUAUCAAUAAAACCUCAAAUAAAAUAGACCAGAGCCUGUGAUGUCAUUUGG